GUCUAAGUAUACUAACGAAUGCAUAUAAGGUUGAUAAAGUAUCAGUGUUUUGAGAGAAGUGUUAAUAAGAAACGGUAAAUAAAAGGCUAAACAAAAAGAGAAUGUAGGGAUAUAAAGUCCAUGUGCAACCACUCAACCAUUCAUCUGCCUCAAAACACAGACACGUGUAUGUUAACAACAAACGAUGUCAAAUGUUUAAACAUGAUAGAACUGGUAAACGGAAACGUAACAAUCUCCGCCGAUGGCAAACUCGCAAAUUACACGUGUCACGAUGGAUAUAUGUUGAACGGCAGCGCAAUACGCACUUGUGUUAACGGUACAUGGAGUGGAUAUGAUCCUAGCUGUUUGGAAAGUACAAUAUUAAUAUAACUUAAAGCUUGGCAUAUGAUUGUGACAAACUAUUAGCCCCUGAAAAUGACAACGUAAGUUUCUCGGCUUCAAAUACUAUUGCCACUUUCACGUGUAUACCGGGAUUCUUGUUGAACGGAAGCAGCCAGAUGACAUGCGGCAAUGGCAAUUGGAGCGCUAAAGUACCUAGUUGCCACAGAAAAGGUGAAUAAACUGAACGUUACAAACGUCACAGCAAGUGCGAUUGUCGAUGUGUUAAAUACAAUGACAGCAGCGACAACUGUAAAUACCACCACAUCUGAAAAACUUACAGGAAGAUCAGUUUCAAAAUAGCCGACUCGCUAUCAAAAGUUGCAGACAUCUUGAAAUCUAGUGCCGGAACGGUGAAUAUAACAACAAGCAUGACCAAAAAUUUUCUAACAUCAACGAGCAACCUGUUGGAGGAAAAAGAUACAUGGAAAACAAUGAAAGAAUCGGGUAAAAAUGAUGGCGGCAAAAUUUUGAAAGCAGUAGACACAUUGACGGACGUACUGAGAACAAGCUUUAAAGCCGAUUCUACAAUAAAUCAGACAAUUCAACCACAAAUAUUGCAAUAUAAUUACUUAAUAUGACAGGUAAUAAAGCAAUUAAAUUUCCCGGCGGAGAUUUCGCAGAUACAUUGGCUUGGGGUGCCGAAAGUACGAAAACUGCAAUAACUUUUCAACCGAGUAGU